GUGCUCACUUUGCAGCAUUUAUACUAAAAUUGGAAUGAUAUAGAGAUUACCAUAGCCCCUGCACAGGAUGUCACACAAAUUUGUGAAGUGUUACAUAUUUUU